AGUGAACGCUGGCGGUAGGCCUAACACAUGCAAGUCGAACGGCAGCACAGGAGAGCUUGCUCUCUGGGUGGCGAGUGGCGGACGGGUGAGGAAUACAUCGGAAUCUACUCUGUCGUGGGGGAUAACGUAGGGAAACUUACGCUAAUACCGCAUACGACCUACGGGUGAAAGCAGGGGAUCUUCGGACCUUGCGCGAUUGAAUGAGCCGAUGUCGGAUUAGCUAGUUGGCGGGGUAAGGGCCCACCAAGGCGACGAUCCGUAGCUGGUCUGAGAGGAUGAUCAGCCACACUGGAACUGAGACACGGUCCAGACUCCUACGGGAGGCAGCAGUGGGGAAUAUUGGACAAUGGGCGCAAGCCUGAUCCAGCCAUACCGCGUGGGUGAAGAAGGCCUUCGGGUUGUAAAGCCCUUUUGUUGGGAAAGAAAUCCAGCUGGCUAAUACCCGGUUGGGAUGACGGUACCCAAAGAAUAAGCACCGGCUAACUCCGUGCCAGCCGCCGCCGUAA
rnacentral:rRNA from 1 species